CCAUGUUUUAAUCCCAUUCCAUAAUCUCACUCUGUAAUACAAUUUAAUAAUGCCAUGUUUUAAUCCCAUUCCAUAAUCUCACUCUGUAAUCCCAUGUUGUAACUCCAUGUUUCAAUCCCAUGAUAAAAUCACUCUGUAAUCCCAUGUUAUAACUACAUGUUAUAACUCAAUGUUUUAAUCCCGUGAUAAAAUCAGUCUGUAAUCCCAUGUUAUAACUCAAUGUUAUAAUUCAAUGAUAACAUCUCUCUGUAAUCCCAUGUUAUAACUCAAUGUUUUAAUCCCAUGAUAAAAGCACUCUGUAAUCCCAUGUUAUAACUACAUGUUAUAACUCAAUGUUUUAAUCCCGUGAUAAAAUCAGUCUGUAAUCCCAUGUUAUAACUCAAUGUUAUAAUUCAAUGAUAACAUCUCUCUGUAAUCCCAUGUUAUAACUCAAUGUUUUAAUCCCAUGAUAAAAGCACUCUGUAAUCCCAUGUUAUAACUCCAUGUUAUAACUCAAUGUUUUAAUCCCAUGGUAAAAUCACUCUGUAAUCCCAUGUUAUAACUCCAUGUUCUGUAAUAUUAUGAUAUAAUCCAAUUCUAGUAUCAUUUAAUUCUGCAGUAUUAUGUUCGGUAUGUACAGAACAAUACAGAGUAACAGUGUGCAGUUACAAGCAGUAC